rnacentral:rRNA from 1 species
UAAUACGGAGGGCGCAAGCGUUGUUCGGAAUUAUUGGGCGUAAAGCGCGUGUAGGCGGCUAGACAAGUCGGGUGUGAAAUCCCGGGGCUCAACCCCGGAAUUGCACUCGAAACUAUCUGGCUAGAGUCCCGGAGAGGAGGGCGGAAUUCCCGGUGUAGAGGUGAAAUUCGUAGAUAUCGGGAGGAACAUCAGUGGCGAAGGCGGCCCUCUGGACGGUGACUGACGCUCAGACGCGAAAGCGUGGGGAGCAAACAGGAUUAGAUACCCUGGUAGUCCACGCCGUAAACGUUGGGUGCUAGGUGUCGCGGGUAUUGACCCCUGCGGUGCCGGCGUUAACGCAUUUAGCACCCCGCCUGGGGAGUACGGUCGCAAGGCUA